UGGGGGAUAUUGCACAAUGGGCGAAAGCCUGAUGCAGCGACGCCGCGUGGGGGAUGAAGGCCUUCGGGUUGUAAACUUCUUUUGCUCUGAACAAGGCAUGCCUUUGGGGUGUGUUGAGUGUAGGGGUUGAUUAGCGCCGGCUAACUACGUGCCAGCAGCCGCGGUAAUACGUAGGGCGCGAGCGUUGUCCGGAAUUAUUGGGCGUAGAGGGCUUGUAGGCGGCUGGUUGCGUCUGUCGUGAAAGCUCAUGGCUUAACUGUGGGUUUGCGGUGGGUGGGGGCUGGCAUGAGUGCAGUAGGGCAGGCUGGAAUUCCUGCGGUAGCGGUGGAAUGCGCAGAUAUCAGGAGGAAUACCGGUGGCGAAGGCGGGUCUCUAGGCUGUUACAGACGCUGAGGAGCGAAAGCGUGGGGAGCGAACAGG
rnacentral:rRNA from 1 species